UCCCUGGUGUCUCAGUGGUAAAGAAUCUGCCUGCAAUGCAGGAGACCUGGGUUCGAUCCCCGGGCUGGGAA